AGUGACAUAAACAUGAUCCAAAAGAUAAACACCUACCAAAACCAAUUGGGGUACCAGGAAAUGAAUAUCUGGAUAUGAAUAUCAACAAUCAUUACUAAAGAAUCAUCACACCAACAUUUCAGAAUCAGGGGGCUAACAUGAUAUCAAACCAACUCAAGAGAUUUCAGACCUAGUGACAACCAAAGGCAUAUGACUAUUUAACCUAUUUCAGACGAAAUUGUGGAAAAACAAACAAUCAUUCAAAAGAAACAACUAAAUUAAAAGAAACUAAGCAAAUAUAGAGGCAAAGAUAGAAAACUUAGCUUUUAUACAGGCCAAUCUAUCUUGAGAUCACUCCGUUGGUUUCUGACCUCUUCUAUACAGGUUUCUAACCCUCUAAAGCAACUCAUUUUGAACUAAUGGAUUUUAGGGGUUCAGGACUGGGGUUCUGUGAUUCUGAGACCAAGUGAGGUCUCAGAUUUAAGUUUUCUCGGUAAUUGGUGGUAUUUGGGGGUUGUGGGGGCAUGGUUGGGGAGGCAGGGGAUUGCCUGAGACGAGUUUGACAAACUUCUGCCAGGGUUUGAGUUUUAGGGUUAAACUUCAAAUUAAUAUUCGAGAUGUUUCAGGCGGAUUCGAAGGGUGUAACAUACACAGUGAGAAAGAGGAGGAUAAGAUGCUUCUGGGGUGUAAUUUUGGAGGGGUUUGGGGUUGGGUUGCCGGAGAUGGGGGUUCCACUGGACUUCUUUUGAAGAUUUGAGACGAUGAGGGGUCGUUUGAAGAGGAUGGAUUGCAGGACGGGGAAUGGGAGAUUCUGGUGGUCCUACGAGGUAAAGUUGGGGAGGUUUGGAACAGGGUCGCCGGAGGCGGUGGUUCCGACGACCUUACUUUUGAAUAUUCGAGACGGAGGAGAC
rnacentral:lncRNA from 1 species